rnacentral:rRNA from 1 species
UGGGGAAUAUUGCACAAUGGAGGGAACUCUGAUGCAGCGACGCCGCGUGAACGAAGAAGGCUUUCGAGUCGUAAAGUUCUUUUAUAUGGGAAGAUAAUGACGGUACCAUAAGAAAAAGCCCCGGCUAUCUACGUGCCAGCAGCCGCGGUAAUACGUAGGGGGCUAGCGUUGUCCGGAAUCACUGGGCGUAAAGGGUUCGCAGGCGGAAAUGCAAGUCAGGUGUAAAAGGCAGUAGCUUAACUACUGUAAGCAUUUGAAACUGCAUAUCUUGAGAAGAGUAGAGGUAAGUGGAAUUUUUAGUGUAGCGGUGAAAUGCGUAGAUAUUAAAAAGAAUACCGGUGGCGAAGGCGGCUUACUGGGCUCAUUCUGACGCUGAGGAACGAAAGCGUGGGUAGCAAACAGG